AUUUUUUUCAUUAUUUUCAAAACAAAUCACCCUCGAGUUGAAUAAAAGUAGUAGACAUUAAAUGGUUGGCUGAAAAUAUUGAUAGCAAUACUAUGCAACACUGGCAAAACAUGCUCAUUUGGGGAUGGUAUUACUGUUGCAGAGCUAUAAGAACACAUUUGGGAGGAAGGAAAGGGGGAAGGAAAAAAGAAAACGAUACACAAACACAUUUGAAAACUACAGCUACUUCAGUGAAAAAGUGAUGGUCCUGUAUUGAAGAUUGAAGUCUGCUGUUGGAGAUCAAACAACUAAUAAAAGAUGAGAGAAACCUCUGGUUCAGAUUUGUUGACACCAAAAACUACUGCUGAAGAAAAACAGGACAUACACCAAAUAUUGCAACAACCCUGCAGGUUUUACCAUGGUAUUUUUCUAAAAAUGAAGUGCUUUUAUUUGAAGACAACAAAGUACAUAUUUGAAAAGAGUUGCCAUCAUUAAAACAUAAUUAGAGUUGUGAAGCCACUAAGCAUCUUAAAUUGUGGCACAGUACAAUAUUUAUCAGGCUUCAGAACACAAUCACAUCUACGGCCAUCCUGCCAUGUUUUGUUUUUUCACUCAGCAAGAUUACCCAUCUGUCACAGUUUAGUGGAGUUAAACUUACCAUCUCUUUAUGUGACAUAUUCUGAGGUGGAAGAGUAGGGAUUAUAGGGUUGCACUGAAGACCAAGCCAACAAAAUGCCAAGAAAACACAUGCACUUAAGCAUUCCUUUAGAAAGAUUUUUUAUUUUUUUAAUUUUAUUUUUUUUUGCUGUUAAAGAAUAAUGGAGCUAAUACGAAACUUUGACAGGCAUAAACCUAAUGAAUAAUUCUGAUAGUGCAAUCUACAGGUGACUCGCAAGCAGUAAAUCGAAUGGUGUUAAUUUAAUGCAAGAAAUGAUCUUUAAAAAGCCAGAAAAAAAGGCAAAUGUAUAAUUCAUAUGGCUAAUAUUUGAGGUAUUUUGUACGCAAGUCUUCAUGUUUCCUGUGUCUACAUGUGCAUAUUCUUUUCACGUGGGUUAAAAAUAAAAAAGUACAAAUGACCUUCA
rnacentral:lncRNA from 1 species